UACGGGGGGAGCAAGCGUUGUUCGGAUUUACUGGGCGUAAAGGGCGCGUAGGCGGUCGUGACAAGUCACUUGUGAAAUCUCCGGGCUUAACUCGGAACGGUCAAGUGAUACUGUCGGACUAGAGUACAGAAGGGGCAACUGGAAUUCUCGGUGUAGCGGUGAAAUGCGUAGAUAUCGUGAGGAAGACCAGGUGGCGAAGGCGGGUCUCUGGACGC
rnacentral:rRNA from 1 species